rnacentral:misc_RNA from 1 species
GAUGAAGAACGCAGCGAAAUGCGAUAAGUAAUGUGAAUUGCAGAAUUCAGUGAAUCAUCGAAUCUUUGAACGCACCUUGCACUCCUUGGUAUUCCGAGGAGUACGCCUGUUCGAGUGUUAUGAAGCUCUCAAAACGCAAUUGGCUUAAAACCUGAUUGUUGUUUUGGAUUUGAACUUUGCCGUGUUAUAACGGCUGGUUUUAAAAGUAUUAGCUGGUACUAGAACGAAUUGGUUCUACUCAACGUGAUAAUUAUCUGAUCGUUGAGGACAUUCCUUUCACGAGGAAUGGCCAUAGUAAAUUCAAUGGACUGCUUCUAAUCUGGCUUUAAUUCUUUAUUGGAUUAACCACUUUUCAAAUCUGACCUCGCAUCAGGUGGGACUACCCGCUGAACUUAAGCAUAUCAAUAAGCGGAGGA